rnacentral:rRNA from 1 species
GAUGAACGCUGACAGAAUGCUUAACACAUGCAAGUCUUUGGCGAAGCUGUGCUUGCACAGCCUAGCCAAGGCGGACGGGUGAGUAACGCGUAAGGAACUUGCCCUGCAGUCAGGGAUAACAGACGGAAACGACUGAUAAGACCUGGUAAAGUCAGGCGGACUCAUGUCCAGCCUGAUGAAAAGAGAUGCUGCAGGAGAGCCUUGCGUCCUAUUAGCUUGUUGGUGGGGUAACGGCCCACCAAGGCGAUGAUAGGUAGCCGGCCUGAGAGGGUGGACGGCCACAAGGGGACUGAGAUACGGCCCUUACUCCUACGGGAGGCAGCAGUGGGGAAUAUUGGACAAUGGGAGCAACCCUGAUCCAGCAAUUCUGUGUGCACGAUGAAGGUUUUCGGAUUGUAAAGUGCUUUCAGCAGGGAAGAAAAAAAUGACGGUACCUGCAGAAGAAGCGACGGCUAAAUACGUG